rnacentral:rRNA from 1 species
ACGUAGGGGGCAAGCGUUAUCCGGAUUUAUUGGGCGUAAAGCGUGUGUAGGCGGUUUAUUAAGUCUAAGAUUAAAGCCCGAGGCUCAACCUCGGUUUGUCUUAGAAACUGGUAGACUUGAGUGUGGUAGAGGUAAGUGGAAUUUCUAGUGUAGCGGUUAAAUGCGUAGAUAUUAGAAGGAACACCAGUGGCGAAGGCGGCUUACUGGGCCAUUACUGACGCUGAGACACGAAAGCGUGGGGAGCAAAUAG